rnacentral:rRNA from 1 species
ACUCCUACGGGAGGCAGCAGUGGGGAAUAUUGCACAAUGGGCGCAAGCCUGAUGCAGCCAUGCCGCGUGUAUGAAGAAGGCCUUCGGGUUGUAAAGUACUUUCAGCAGUGAGGAAGGUGGGUAUGUUAAUAGCAUAUUCAUUUGACGUUAGCUGCAGAAGAAGCACCGGCUAACUCCGUGCCAGCAGCCGCGGUAAUACGGAGGGUGCGAGCGUUAAUCGGAAUUACUGGGCGUAAAGCGCAUGCAGGUGGUUUGUUAAGUCAGAUGUGAAAGCCCGGGGCUCAACCUCGGAAUUGCAUUUGAAACUGGCAAACUAGAGUACUGUAGAGGGGGUAGAAUUUCAGGUGUAGCGGUGAAAUGCGUAGAGAUCUGAAGGAAUACCGGUGGCGAAGGCGGCCCCUGGACAGAUACUGACACUCAGAUGCGAAAGCGUGGGAGCAAACGAGGAUUAGAU